AGUAAAGUGGCUGAAUAAAGUGAUAAAUUGUAAAUUUAUUUAUAAAUAGAAAUAUUUUUUUACUA
rnacentral:tRNA from 1 species